GGGGGCGUCCUGGCUUCGACGGGGAUCUUGAGGUUCGAUAAGCGGGUAGAGUUUGAGGAAACUCUUAAAUAAGCCUCAACUUAAAUUUAAACGCUAACGAUAGAGUAGCUCUGGCAGCCGCCUGACGGCUGUGCCGCCGCAUAUAAUGCGGCCCGUCUUACCGCGGAGUUCCGCUACCGCGGAUAAGACGUCAUUUUGCGGAGAACGUGAACGGCGAGUUUGACUUUGUAACCGUCACGCACUAAAAGCCUACCGUACCGCCGCCCCGACUGUCGGACGACGGCGCGGGAAACUCAAAAGGCAGCCUGCACCCGGAGAAAGUCGUGUCAACGGAUUUUCGGACACGGGUUCGAUUCCCGUCGCCUCCACCA
rnacentral:tmRNA from 1 species